UCUCUCUCUCUCUCUCUCUCUCUCUCUCUCUCUCUCUCUCUCUCUCUCUCUCUCUCUCUCUCUCUCUCUCUCUCUCUCUCUCUCUCUCACCCCCCACAAGUUUGUAUUUAUAGAUUUAAGUCCCUCCCCCCUUAAUCUCUUCCUCAUUAUUAUUAUUAUUAUUAUUAUUAUUAUUAUUAUUAUUAUUCAUUGGUAUACAUACAUGUGCGUGUUUGUGUGUAUGUAUUGUGCGUAUGUGUGUAUGUAUACUUAGCUUUUGUUUAUGAGUUCACCAAAGAGGCUCAUGUGUGUGUGUGUGUGUGUGUGUUGAAACAUUUUUAUUGGAUUGUUUUAGUUUGUUCGUUCUCUCUCUCUCUCUCUCUCUCUCUCUCUCUCUCUCUCUCUCUCUCUCUCUCUCUCUCUCUCUCUCUCUCUGAUUUUGCUCAGAUUUUAUUUUUUUAGUGUUUUUUUUUCAUUUCAUUUCAUUUCCUUUUCUUUUAAUCUUGUUUCCUUUGCAUCAUUCAGUUUUAGAUCCUGUAUAUUGACAUUUUUAUUACUGUAUAUAUGUAUUAAUCUCCUCACUCUCACACACACACACACACACACACACACACACACACACACACACACACACACACACACACACAUAUAAGGUGCGUUUGUGUGUGUUCAGAAUUGUAGCAUUUAUUUACGUAUUGCAUUUAUAAUUUGUUCCUUCCUUCCUUCCUUCCUUUUUCCUUCUUUCUUCAUUCAUAAAUUCAUUUUUUCUUUUCUCUUUUCCUUCCUUCCUUCCUUCCUUCCUUCCUCGUCAUGUGCCAUAUUGAAGAACACAUAGACACACGCAUGUACGUUUUUCACCUUUAUUGUGUGUGUGUGUGUGUGUGUGUGUGUGUGUGUGUGUGUGUGUGUGUGUGUGUGUGUGUGUGUGUAGCCGUAUAACUUGCCUUUCCAUCGGUGUAUGUACGUUUGUAUAUAUGUGUGUGCUUUUAUUUACAUUAAUCUUUAUUUUUUCUCGUUUCUUUUUUUCUUUUCCUUUUUUUUUCUAAAACUAAUUUGAAUCUACAUAUGUAAAGUCUUAUAUUUUGGAAGGACUUUUGAUUCUGUAUAUUUUCUCUCUCUUCUCUCUCUCUCUCUCUCUCUCUCUCUCUCUCUCUCUCUCUCUCUCUCUCUCUCUCUCUCUCUCUCUCGCUCAUUUAUGUAAAGACUCGAGUGUAAAUAAUAAUAGUAACAUUUUUAGGCGUAACUUUUGAGCGAGGCGACGUAAACAGAGCAAGAUAGUAGUGUUUGUAACGGUGCAGCCAUCAUGUGUUUGUUUUGUUGCGAAAGACUGUGCUCUGUUUUACUCACACAAUAGUUGAGUAAAUAUCAAACACACACACACACACACACACACACAGAAUUUAAAUAUGUGACGUACUUAAAAGAUAUUUCACGUAGUGUUAAGUAUUGUUUGAAGUGACUAGUUGUGUGUUUAAACCUGUAAUAGUGUAAAGUACUCUCUCUCUCUCUCUCUCUCUCUCUCUCUCUCUCUCUCUCUCUCUCUCUCUCUCUCUCAUCAGUCAGUCAGUCAGUGCAUUCCCUUCCCGUCCAGUGUGCGUGUGUAUGUAUAUCUGUAUGUAUGCAUGUAUGUGUAUAUAUGUAUGUGUGUUUGUAUGUAUGUGUAUGUCAUUCCACUAAACAAUACACAAGAAGAACAAAUGGAACAAAAAAAACAAUGUUAAAGUCAUUCCACAUUGUUACGUUAAUCAGUGUCUUGGUGAGGUCACAGUGUUGGGGUCAGGUCACGGAAGGGUAGGGCAGGGCAGGGCUGGGUUUGUGGUGGAGAGGUUGUAUGCAGUGAGGGUGGGUUAGGUAGGGGGUUCAGCUUGGAUGGGUUUAGUGGGGUUGGGUUGUAUUGAUCUGGGUUUGUUGAAUUUAGUUGGGUUGGAUUAGGUUGGGUUAGGUUAGGUCUGGGCUGGGCUGGAUUGGGUUGCAUUUCAUCUGGUUUGGGUUUGUCUGAUCUGGGUUAGAUUGGGUUCAUCUGGUUUGGGGUGGGUUUGGUUCUAAUCUGGGUUCAUCUUGUCUGGGUUGGGUUGGGUUUCAUCUGAUGUAGGUUUAUCUUGUCUGGGUUAUGUUGGGUUCUUUUGGUCUAGGUUGGGUUGGGGUGGGUUCAUGUAGACUGGAUUUAAGUUAGGUUGGGUUGGGUUGGGUUCUGUUAUGAGUUGUUGAGAUUCCAUGUUGUCUUGUUGGCUUGUGUUUGAUUCACUCGUGUUUUUAUGGUUUUGUUAAAUUGAGGACAUUUUACCUUUUUGUUUUUAUAUAUUCUUUUUAUUUUUCAUUUUUUGCUUUAUUUAAUCUUUUUCAUGUGGUGGUGAAAGUACUUAAAAUUAUAUCCAUUUGGUGUUUGUUGGCCAUUGUUUUUAUAUAAUUUCCACACAUAUAUUUUCUAAUCAUCUUAUUUAUUUACUUAUCUUUCUAUACGUCACUUAAUUUAUAGAGAUUUUACGAAUUUCUUGGAUUUUAUAUGGUCACGUCUUUUAUUGAUAACAUAAAUUUUGAGGCUUUUAACAAACUUUCUUUAGUGUGUGUGUGUGUGUGUGUGUGUGUGUGACUGCGAUUGGUAACUAUGCAUUGUUUUUUUAUUAUUAAUUUUUUUUUUUAUGAAGUUUGUAUUGUUUUGGUUAUCAUUUUUACACCUAACAAUAACUGCAGAUUUGUUCACUGUUUGGUUUGUUUGCCCUGUGUUGUAUUCCUGACACUGAGGAUAUAGUUAUGAGCAUUGUUAAAGAUGUACAGCCUGGAGAGGGCGUGUGGUGAGGUGUGGUGUGGUGAUGAAAGCUUUGCCACACAUGCUUAGUGAUCUGGAAGAGUUGUGAUGUGGUGGUUUUAGUGUGUGGUGAUGAGAACUGUGAUUUGGUGUGGUGGUGAAAGCUUUGCCACAUUUUCACUGGUCCAGGAGAUUAUGAUAUGGUGUUGAUGUGAUGUGAGGUGUGGUGGUGAAAGCUUUGCCACAUUUUCACUGGUCCAGGAGAUUAUGAUAUGGUGUUGAUGUGAACUGUGGUGUGGUGUGAUGUUGAAAGCUUUGCCACACAUGUUUAGUAAUCCAGAAAAGUUGUGGUGUUAUGGUGGUUUUGAGUGUGUGGUAAUGAGAGGCGUGGUGUUGAGUUAUGGUGGUGUGGUGGUGUCCUGGUAGUAGUGGUAUGAUGAGAGGAAACACUUCACUUCAGUCUUACAAUGAAAAACUGUCACAUUUUUCAGUGUAACAAGCGUGAUAGAGGCUGUGUGGUGACAAGCAGGCCUUAUGUCUCAAAUACGUCCAUAUCAACUCAUAUUUAAACCUCACAUAUCACGUAAGUUCUCAUAAGAUUUGUAAGUAGUAUGUGUGGUUGUAGGUGCUGUGUUGUAAUGUUUGUGGCCUUAACUGUUGUAAGAUUGAAACUAAUUAUAACGACACAAAGCCUUAACUCCUUCAGUACUGGAAUGCAUUUUUACCUUGAGUUUUGGGUGUGAUUAGAUGAUUUUAUUGACACUAGGAAGGGUUUGUGGAGAUGAGAAGAUUAAUGGCUACAGUCUUCAGUAUUUUAAACCCUACAUAAGUUUCUGAAGCUGUAUAGAAUCACCAAAUAGUAAGCAGAAUAAUAUGGAAAUGCAGCAUGUACUGAAGGGGUUAAAGAUUACAAUAGUGUCAGGAUUUGAAAAGAUUGGAAUGUUCUGAUUUAUUAUCAAGAAAACAUUUGUGGCCUUCAAUACAGAAAACAUGUGAUUAAUGAUAGAACUGGAUGCCUUAAAAAUAACAAUAACCUUAUCAGAUUCUUUAAAAAUUUGAACAUUUUUGUACAGAAUUAUAAGAAAGACCUUAUACUAACCAAAACUUAACAAGAUUUCCAAAUAUCACAAAAUACACAAUGCCUCAAGAUACAUACAUGACCUCAAAAGACAAGCAUGUGUGUUUUGUUAGACGUUGCAAGCCCACAAGCUGUCAUGUCCCAAGAAAGCCUUACCAAUGUGCCUGAAAUGUGUGGUGAGACUCAGAACUUGUCAUCAUGUUCAGAAUUGUCAUAGAAAGUGUGUGUCUUCUGGAGUGUGUUAUGAGGUUCUGGGAGGCUGUGUAAUGGUUAGGCCUGUGUUCCAAGUGUUUUGUGAGUGUUAGGUUAUGCGAGACUGAUGUUUAGGUGUGAGUUCUAAGUAUGUUGUUAGUGUUUUGAAGUUCUGGGAGACAGUGUGAUGUUAGGCGUGUUUUAAGUGUGUUGUGAGUGUUUAAAAGAUUCUAGGAGACAUGGUGAAGUGUAUGUGUGUGUUGUAAGUGUGUUGUGAGUGUUAAAAGGUUCUAGGAGACUGAUGGUGAAGUGUGUGUGUGUGUGUGUGUGUUGUAAGUGUGUUGUGAGUGUUAAAAAGGUUCUAGGAGACUGUGAUUAUGAGAUGUCUGUUUUCUGAGUGUUGUGAGUGCUAUGAGGUUCUAGGAGACUGUGUAAUGGUGAGGUGUGUGUGUUCUAAGUGUUUUGAGGUUCUAGAAGACUUAUGGUGAGAAGAAAGUGUCCUGUGUGAAGCAAGUGUAAGUCACCCAGCUUGUGAAGAAUAGUGAUCUGAGUUAAUGUGUUGUGCGGUGUUGCUAGAUCAAGGUGUCGUGGGAUUGUAGAACUAAAAAAUGUGUAAUGGUUCUGAAUGUGUCUUGUUUCAAAGGCUAACUAAGUGUUUUAAAAGUGAAUGUUUGAGAAUGUAACCUUAUUUUGUAAUCUGAAUAAGUGAGACAGUGUUUUGAGAUGAAUAUUUGAGAAUGUGUCGUUUUGAAAUAUGAAUAAGGGAAAUACAGUGUUCCGAGAUUAAUGUUUGAGAAUGUAACUAUUUUGUAAUCUGAGUUAGCAGGCUCAGAUAUUACAAGACGAACAAGACACAGGGUUUUGAGAGUUAAUGUUUCAAAAUGUGAUGUUGCUUUGAGCUUUAUAGGAAAUUAUUUACAGACCAGAGUGUUGCAAGAAACAAAAUGUAAUGCUUGUGAACUAUUUAUAUGCAUUUUAAACCUUCUCACAGACUGAUAUUGAAAGAUCGUGUGUGUGGGUGUGUGUGUCUUGAAGGAUGAAAGGAUGUGAUGUUUGUGGUCUUGAAAUAUUUAGAAUUAUUGUGCAGACUGAUGUUGAAAAGUUUGAAGAUGAUAGUAAAUGAAAAUCAAGAAUGUCAUGUAUUUUAGACUCCAUUGCAGAGUGGAGUGUUGAGAGAUGAAAUAAUUGUGGUGCUAGGACGAAAAUAUGCCGCCAUGUUUGUGAAUGUUAAGCAGUAUUUUAACUUUCUACAAACUCGAAGAUAAUUGAGGUCACAUGACUAUUUUGAGCCAAGAUGUUAUGUAAUGUGAUGUGAUGUGAUGCUUGUCUAAGUACUGGAGCAUUAAGAGACUGGGAAAAGGUGUGUGUCCGAGUUUAUUUAUUUAUUCUUAUUUAUUUAUUUAUUUUUUUUCUAGCACACUUGAAUGCUGAAAGUUGAAGAAUUUUUUUUCUUUUCCAAGAUACGAUGCUUGGGAGUGUGGAUUUAUUUUUCAUCUGUUUUAUUUUAUUUAUUUUUAUUUUUACUCAAAUGUAGAAAUGUUAAGAAAAGACAUGAUUUUUUUUUUAGGAUGAGAUGAUUUGAUGUUCAGAAUACUUAUUUGUUUAUUUUAACUUUAUUUAUUUUUCACCUCAGACUCGAAAAAUGAAGGAUUAAAAAGAUACACAAUUUUCUAAGACUAAGAUGUUGAGGAUAAGAUUUUAUUAUUUUUUUUUCUUCUUCUUUCUCUCAAACACAAACGAUGAAAGAUAAAUAAAUGAUAGAAUAAACAAGAUAGAGUGUGAUGUUUGUGAUGUAAACCCGCCACAACAAACACUGGCGUGAUGUAGUAACUGACUGGCUGACGAGUGUUUACUAUCGUUAGCCUCGAACCAAUGCACUUACUAUCCUUUCUACUUAACUAUCAUUGACUACUCAUACUAUAUUUAACUAACAGGCUGCCUCUUGUGCGUGCUUGCGUUUGUGUGUAAGAGUGUACAUUCGCGUGUGUAUGAAUGUGUAUGUGUGUUAAUUUAAUGUACACACUGUAAUGCGACAUAGUACAAGUAUAAUGUGUAAAAUACUUCCACUUAGCAUAGCCUUGUAUGUACGUAUGUUUGUAAGUAUAGGUAUAGAAGUGAGCUAGUAGUGAAAGGACGAGGAGGAGGAGGAGGAGGGGGGGAGGAACAAGAGGUUAGGGUGAUGAAAGUGGAAGAGGAGGAGGAGCAGGAGGUGGUGAUGGUGGUGGUGGUUAAUCUAAUAAUGGUCACACACGUCACAAUUCCCCCCAUUAAUUCUGCCCCAUUUUCAUCAUUCUGUUCCUGCCCCAUUAGUUUUCUUUUUGUUUUAUUUAUUCGUUAUUAUUUUAUUUUUUUUUUUGUCUUGUUUGUUUCUCUCUCCAGUUUCAUCUAUUUCUCUUUCCAUUCCAUCUUACUUUUUUUUUUUUUAUUUGUUUCAUAUUUUUCUAUUAUAUUCCAGUUUUACGUUUUUUUUCCACAUUUUCAUUUAUUCUCGUUUUCUGUUUCACUUCUUAAAAAAUCCGCGUCCAUUUUCUUAUUUUAUUCAUUUUUUCAUUUUUUAUUUUAUUUUCUGCCUCCAUUUCGAGAGUUACGAGUGGCGCCAUUUUCUCUCUCUCUCUCUCUCUCUCUCUCUCUCUCUCUCUCUCUCUCUCUCUCUC
rnacentral:lncRNA from 1 species